CUGAAACUUAUGUUUUUCUUAGUGUUCAUUCUUAGUCAUCAUUAAAGUACAACUUGGUAAACUACAAAACACAUCAAAUUCAGUUAUAAAAAUUUGAGUAACAAAGGUAUGCGAAUUAUUGUAUUGACUGAAAGAGUGUCAUUGCUAUUAAAAGCAGUGAAGAAUUCAAUACUCUGGAAGAAAAGAAAAUACGUUGUGUAUUUUUGCUGGUCAAUUAUUUGGCACAAAUCGGAGUUAAAGACAAAGGAGUAUAUUUUAUUUGCUAAGAAUAGUUUUUUAAAAUGGCCUAGUUGUAAAAUUAAACUAUGCAGGGAGAGGACAAAAAAUUGGAAUAGAAAAAAUGUUGAUUGCAUAUGCUGCUAUUGAAACUGUGAAGUCAAAUAAGCAUGGCUUAUGCAGACAUGUGAUAGAGAUAGUGGAAGAAAAAAUAAUAAUCGUGGGCACCAAAUAUCAUAAGCUAAACACUAUUCAAUAACAACUACCUCAGCCAAUAUUGAAACUACUCUAUAAAUUUUAUAGUGAAUUUUUUUAUUUAAAACUCAAUGUGUCAGUUUUUUAUUUAAGUUUGGUGUUUGCAAUAUGUAUAUCUAACCAAUAAAUUAUGUUAAAUAAAUAAAUUUUUAU